ensembl:lncRNA
AGGACAGAACUUUUAACAGACAUUCCAGUAGUUUCAGUGUCAGUCUGUACAGUGCAAAUAUUCAGAUUAACAGUUUGGAGAAGUGGUUUGUGUUCUGGUAAAUUUAAAAUACACCUGCCUAAAUAAAGGAACUUCUCUGUUGAUAUAAAUAAUACACAUUCCACAAAAUGCUCAAAUGAAAUAGCUGAAUAAGAGGCUUUAGAUACACACUGACUGUUGUAGGCUGAAGUGCACCUUUGUGGGCAAUACAACUGACCCGGUGACAAGGUGUAUGAAGUUUUUCUGAGGAACAAGUGUCAUCGAUCAGAAGCGAUUAAUGCAAGGAACAGUGUCUUAUCAGCUGCCGUGAGCAUCACACAACCCUCGCUCCCCGCGGAAGAGCAGCGGUACGAUCCGCCGCGCACAUUUACAGGCAAGAAAUUACUAUCAAAUCCCCAAAGCGCUCGGCAAACGAAGGGUGCGCGUUGCGCGGGCGAGGGAUCUGAUGUGGACUUAAACACAAAUGAAAGGAGGAUUCAUGCAACAGAUAGAACAGAUAUAUGCCUAACCCGACGCCGUAGAACAGAUAAACACGCUCGCAUUUAUUGUCGCUAUUGAAAUCAGCAAGCCGCUGUGGUUCAGAAGUCAAACGGAGGUCAUCCUUUAUAUCCCCCCGCAGCAAUCUGCGACCAGGGGCCAGUCAGCAGUGAACCCUGCCAUCUCCACUCCUGACAACUGCCACAAAGUUACAAGACUAUCGGGAAUGGGGUUUUCUUAAUGGUUCAUAAAUGGCAUUUUGGUGUUGCAAUAUUCCAUCUGGUUGGCCAGGAAAAGAAAGUUUCAG